GCGGGGGCGCGGCGGAGCUGCUCCGGUGUGCGCCUCCAGGCGGAGCCGGGGAGCGGGGAGGCGGCGCCUCUGGAGAACAAUAAUCGUAAAACCGGGGGAUGGAGCCCAGGGCUGUGUCCCUCGCCUCCACGGCAGUUCCGAGUUGCUCAAGACAGCCCUUUGCCUUAGGAACCGUGAUCCUGCCUCCAGGCGCUGGCCGCAGAGCGGCCCGGCGGCGCCACGGGACACACCUGACUCGGGGAGCCCUGGGGGAUCCGACCGCCCGGCAAAAUGGAGCCUCGCGAGUCCCGCCUGGCCCCCAGCACGUUCUUCACGGCAGGAGCUCUCGAAUGUGUCCUUCCUUCCCGUCCUCAGGCCAGGUCCAAGGCCUCCUCUAAAGUGUUACUUGCUAUGAUCAACAGAAGGAAUGAGCAAUCCUUGUUUGGAGUAGUGCUUGUCAUCCCAGCACUGGGAAGGCUGAGGCAAGAAGAAUCAGAAGUCUGAGGCCAGCCUGGGCUACAUGCCCUGUCUCCAAGUACAUAAAUAAACAAGUAUAAGAGUAAUUAUUUCUUAAUUUAACAUAUCCUUAAUCAAAAUUGCCAUCAAACUCCCUAUUGGUACCAUCCCAGCUACUAUAUCUAAAUAUGAAAUUUUAACUGGUGCAACCAGAAUUUAAUGUUCUAGCAAAACCUAGUUUGAGUGUUUAUUUUAAGAUUAUCCUGAGUUAAGUAAAGGAAAUCCAGACCUCCAUUUAUUCAGUAAUAUUAAUCAAAAUGCUAACUAUGUACUAGGUAGUCUAAGUACUGUGUGGAUCAAUUCAUGAACAAAAUAAAAGUUGAAUAGACAAUAAAACCAGCAUUUAAGUAUUUUGAUAAUAUUUUAUUUAAAAACCAAUUGUAUUUAUAUAUUAUCAGGGUGGGGAAAUAGACUGUAAAAGGAUGAGGCUUAGAGGUGUAUUUUUUAAUAGAAUAUUCAAAACAGGCCUCACUGAAAAGCACAAACUUAAAGGAGAUGGAGGAGUAAACCACAUGAGUAUGUAAAGAAAAUUUCCAAGCAGAUCAGCCAAUACUUAGCACCAGAGAGAGGAGCCUGCUUAGUGUAUUCAGGUCCACCAAAAGAGGCCAACAUAUCUUUUGAGACUGAGGAGAGUAGUAGGAUAUAAGAGGGUGAUGUGAAGGAUUUUGUAGGGGCUGGAAAGGUAACUCAGUGGCUAAGAGCACUUGCUGCUUUUCCAGAGGACCUGAGUUUGAUUCCCAGCACCCACCUACAAAGCAGCUAAAAACUGCCUUUAAUUCUAGUUCUGGGGUGGGGAUCUGUUGCUCUCUUCUGGCCACCACAGGCAUUGCAUGCACAUGGUACACAGACAUCCAUGCAGGCAACAUCCAUACACAUAAAAUAAAAAUAGUCAAGUAAACCAAGGCCUUGUGGACUAGUAUUAUAAGGAUAUUAGUGUUUACUAAGUAAAAUAGGUGUGGUAGUUUGAGUGAAAGAGCCCCAUAGGCUCAUAGGGUCUGGCACUAUUAGGAAGUGUGGUUUUGUGGUCUUUUUGAAGUAGGUGUGGCAUUGCGUCACUGGAGGUGGGCUUUGAGGUCUCAAAAUGCUCAAGCCAGGACUAGUGUGUCUGAUUCUCUUCCUGCUGCCUGCCGAUCUGGAUGUAGAACUCUCACCUCCAUCUCCAGUACCAUGUCUGCCUGCAUGACACCAUGCUUCUCACAAUGAUGAUAAUGGACUAAACCUCUGAAACCGUAAGGCAGUCUCAAAUGUUUUCUUUUCUAAGAGUUGCUGUGGUCAUGGUGUCUCUUCACAGCAAUAGAAACCCUAACUAGGACAAUAGGGAAACAAUGAGAAAAAGAGAUGUAUACCAUCAUAUUUUAAUAGGAUCACUCCAGCCACUAGAAAAAAGACCAAAAGUGAGAGAAUCUGUAGGAGGCACUCAUAAUACCAUAGACAGGAGAUGAAAGUAACUUGGGUAUGGAUGAUCACAGUGGAUGUGGUGACAAGUGGUCAGAUGUAGGGUUAUUCUUUAACAGGUGAACCCACAGGAUUUCCACACAAAUUAAAUAUGGAAUGUGAGAGAAGUCAAGAAUAACUUUAAGAUCUUUGUCCUGAAGGAUGAAAGUUGCCACAAACUGAGAUGGAUAACAUUCUGAACAGAAUAGUUUUCAUGAAAAAGGAAAUCAAUCAGGAGCAUGUUAACUUCCAGAAUCUUAACAAAAUAAAGGAAAUCUAACACUGAGUUUUUGCACAAUUGUGGAGAGUAAGUCAUUUUCAGCUACUAGCAGUUCAUACCGUGUUGCUGGAUCCUAAUGGCUCCCUCAGGGGAGAGAGUGAGAAAGCACAGUGUCAACAACACAGACAUCGGGAGUCAGUUGACAGCAGUAGCAAACUCAUUUAUUCAAUAAUGGGAAAAGCCUUAUAUACCCUCCUCCUAGCACCCAAGCUGUGUCCCAAUCUGGUGGCAUUAUGUGGUUGUCCCUCAUUGUCUGGGCACGAUCAGGAACUCUGACAGCAACCAGGAACUCUGACUGUGCCUGAUGCUAGGCCCUCAGUCAGACUCCGCAUGAUCAGGAACUCUGACAGCACCUAUUGCUAGGCCCUCGAGCAGAUGAGCAGACUCCAGGUUGGCUCAUAAGGAAGUACAUUAUGUGCAUGCCUUGGCAGUUGGUUUGAGCCAAUUUCCUCACCCUAUGGGCCUGUCCUACUACGAUACAGGGACUAUUUUACACUAAAAAUCUCAUAUUCUACUUGUUUUCAUUUCUUUCCUAUAACAAACAGCAGCCUGAGAGAUGAUCUACAUACAGUCAUCCAGAAAAAGAAUUUUUAUUGAUCACUAAUGCUCCAGUUCUCAACAAGUCAAGGAAUGGGGAACUUAUCUCAUUAUUACCAGAAAACUGACUACACAUGGUACAUUGUGUUUAUUAUGAACAUUGGCAACACUGGAUUAGUUUUUAAAAAAAACAUUGCAGUAAAAAUGGAAGCAAGGACAGAAGAAUGUGAAUAGUAUACUCCACUUGUUUGUCUUCACUGUUGUUGACACAAAUGUCCUGCCCAAGGGAAGGGAGAGGAAAAGGGACAGUUGUUGGCAAUUUGUCCUGAAACUCACUUCCAGCCAACUGAGAAUUUCCAGCUGCCAAAUAUCAGACAGGGAGACCAGAGGAGGCCUCUGAGGAAUAAAGAGAUGAAGAGGUCGGACUCUGGGUGAAGGGCCUGUCUUGUGUUUGGCAUCUUAAAAAAGUGGAAAAGGCUUGGAGCUGUGUGAAGAUGAAGGAGACAGGUAAGAGCCAGAAGAUGUAAUGAAGCAAGGGCCUGGAGCAUCUAGAACAAUUUAAUGAUCCAAUUGUCCUUCCCAGAUAAUCCAUCUUUACAACUUUA